CCCCCCCCCCCCCCCCCCCCCCCCCCCCCCCCCCCCCCCCCCCCCCCCCCCCCCCCCCCCCCCCCCCCCCCCCCCGUGGUUAUUUGUGGUUUUUCCCGGUUUUGCCUCUCCCAGGCAGCGCGGGAGGAGGAAGGGGCUGGCUCAGGUGUGGCUUUAGGACCCAGCGGAUCCCCCGUGCUGGAGGUAGGAGGUUUUUCGGGUUUAUUGGUUUUUUUUGACUCGCAUUUCAAGAGUUUUGGGGAAGCAGAGAGAGGAGACCGAGGCUGUGGGCGAGGGCAGAGCCGGCACUCACUGACUCCUCCGGCUGCGUCCCGGCCGCGCUC
rnacentral:lncRNA from 1 species